AACAAAUAUCGCUUCAGUUCAAAGCUGACCUUAAGUUGAGAUUUUCCACCUUAAAAAAAAGUUUAUUUCACCAUGUGGCUUACAGCAGGGUUUACAAUUCACCUGAAACCCGCUCAAUCUUGUCGCGGUCAUCGUAAUUAUAUUGCGUGGAAUGAAACGUGUAAUGCACGAGUUGGAACUUGGGCAUGUUUUUCACCAAUCUCGUGUCCAUGAAUAAAUCCUCCAUAUGGUUUCCUACCGACCACUCCAAGCGUAUCUUGCUGCAUUCCAGACACGCAAUCACUUAGUAUUAGCACGUCUCGACUUGUGCGAGAACAGUGUUGUGGCAAUUGUGUUUUACUGGAAGGAUGCCAUUAAAAACUGCUCGCCAUUUACUGUGAAACCGAUUUUAUAUGAAGCAAUACAGAAGCCAAAGUAAGUUGUUUUGUGAAUGAAUGAACUCUUUGAUCCAAAGACAUAAAGAUCUGUUUUUCAAGAAUGAAGGAACCCAUAACUUAUCAACGAGACGACUUGGUAAUACAACGCUCUGGUUUGCUGUUGUUCCACGGAAUCUUAGCCGUUCGUCCUUCCAGGUUUCGUGCAAACACAAUGUGCAAGUAAAGUCCUAAAUUAAUAUACAUCAACAGUUCACAUGAAACGUUUACACGAUGUUCUUGAACCGGCGGUACACAGAGACAUGAAAAAAAAAUAAUCUGAUUUUUUAUCUCACCAUAUUUUUCUCCGAAAUGUCGGUCAAACUUUCAAUCAAUAAAGAUACUUUUACUCUU